UACGGAGGGAGCUAGCGUUGUUCGGAAUUACUGGGCGUAAAGCGCACGUAGGCGGCUUUGUAAGUUAGAGGUGAAAGCCCGGGGCUCAACCCCGGAAUAGCCUUUAAGACUGCAUCGCUUGAAUCCGGGAGAGGUGAGUGGAAUUCCGAGUGUAGAGGUGAAAUUCGUAGAUAUUGGGAAGAACACCGGUGGCGAAGGCGGCGCUCUGGACCGAGACUGACGCUGAGGCGCGAAAGCGUGGGGAGCAAACAGG
rnacentral:rRNA from 1 species